UGACAAUGACGAUAUUGUAAUGGUCUCGUUCGUCGUAAUGGCUGUUAAUCAUGGCCUUGCCGACCACUCUAUAUAUCACCACCCAUAUUCUGAGUUG